rnacentral:rRNA from 1 species
UACGUAGGCGUCCGAGCAAGUCAAUUGUUAAAUUCUUACAGCUUAACUGAAGGCAUGCAAUUGAAACUUCUUGGAUAGAGUUUGAGAGAGGAAAGUGGAAUUCCUGGUGGAGCGGUGACAUGCGUAGAUAUCAGGAGGAACACCAAAGGCGAAGGCAGCUUUCUGGCUCAAAACUGACGCUGAUGUACGAAAGCGUGGGAGCAAACA